AUGGAGAAAACACAAAUAAGCAAGAAACAGAAGUACACCCAUCCUGCUCCCAGCACACGGGAGAAUCAGGACACUAGCUGGAACCACACUGACAGGUCCCAGGAGAGAGACAGGAGGCAGAGUGGGAACAGAGGGGGUGUGGCUGUCAGGAGGGGUGUGGCUGUCACAGAGCAGGGGUGUGACUGUCAGGAGGGGGUGUGGCUGUCACAGAGCAGGGGUGUGGCUGCCACAGAGGAGGUGUGGCUGCCACAGAGGAGGGGAUGUGGCUGUUACAGGAGGAGGUAUGGCUGUCACAGAGGAGGGGUGUGGCUGUCACAGAGCAGGGGUGUGGCUGCCACAGAGGAGGGGGUGUGGCUGUCACAGGAGGAGAUAUGGCUGUCACAGCAGGGGGUGUGGCUGUCAGGAGGGGUUGUGGCUGCCACAGAGCAGGGGUGUGGCUGUCACAGAGGAGGGGGUGUGGCUGUCAGGAGGGGGUGUGGCUCUCAGGAGAGGGUGUGGCUGUUACAGAGCAUGGGUGUGGCUCUUACAGAGCAUGGGGGUGGCUGUCACAGAAGGAGGUAUGGCUCUCACAGAGCAGGGGGUGUGGCUGUCAGGAGGGGUUGUGGCUGCCACAGAGCAGGGGUGUGGCUGUCACAGAGGAGGGGGUAUGGCUGUCAGGAGGGGGUGUGGCUGUUACAGAGCAGGGGUGUGGCUGUUACAGAGCAUGGGUGUGGCUGUCACAGAAGGAGGUAUGGCUGUCACAGAGCAGGGGGUGUGACUGUCACAGGAGGAGGUAUGGCUGUCACAGAGCAGGGGGUGUGGCUGUCAGGAGGGGUUGUGGCUAUCACAGAGCAGGGGUGUGGCUGUCACAGAGCAGGGGGUGUGGCUGUCAGGAGGGGUUGUGGCUAUCACAGAGCAGGGGUGUGGCUGUCACAGAGCAGGGGUGUGGCUGUCACAGAAGGAGGUAUGGCUGUCAGAGGAGGGGGUGUGGCUGUCAGGAGGGGUUGUGGCUAUCACAGAGGAGGGGUGUGGCUGUCAUGCCCUCAGCUUUGCUUUGUUUUCCUUCCAAGGACUCGGAUGUUCUCGUCGCUCCACCACCUCCAGGUUUCUAAAGCCCAGGAAGACGGGGUCUAA
rnacentral:lncRNA from 1 species